rnacentral:rRNA from 1 species
GUGGGGAAUAUUGGACAAUGGGGGGAACCCUGAUCCAGCCAUGCCGCGUGUGUGAAGAAGGCCUUUUGGUUGUAAAGCACUUUAAGCGAGGAGGAGGCUACCGAGAUUAAUACUCUUGGAUAGUGGACGUUACUCGCAGAAUAAGCACCGGCUAACUCUGUGCCAGCAGCCGCGGUAAUACAGAGGGUGCAAGCGUUAAUCGGAUUUACUGGGCGUAAAGCGCGCGUAGGUGGCCAAUUAAGUCAAAUGUGAAAUCCCCGAGCUUAACUUGGGAAUUGCAUUCGAUACUGGUUGGCUAGAGUAUGGGAGAGGAUGGUAGAAUUCCAGGUGUAGCGGUGAAAUGCGUAGAGAUCUGGAGGAAUACCGAUGGCGAAGGCAGCCAUCUGGCCUAAUACUGACACUGAGGUGCGAAAGCAUGUGGAGCAAACAGGAUUAGAUACCCGAGUAGUCC